AACGAACGCUGGCGGCAUGCCUAACACAUGCAAGUCGAACGAGACCUUCGGGUCUAGUGGCGCACGGGUGCGUAACGCGUGGGAACCUUCCCUUAUGUUCGGAAUACCUCCCCGACAGGGGUGCUAAUACCGGAUAAUUUCUUCGGACCAAAGAUUUAUCGCCUUUGGAUGGGCCCGCGUUGGAUUAGCUAGUUGGUAGUGUAAAAGCCUACCAAGGCUACGAUACAUAGCUGGUUUGAGAGGAUGAGCAGCCACACUGGGACUGAGAAACGGCCCAGAAUAUUAGAGGAGGCAGGAAGGGGGAAUAUUGGAAAAUGGGGGGAAGACUGAAGGAGCAAGGCUGGGUAAGUGAUGAAGGUCUUAGGGAAGUAAAGCUCUUUUACCCGGGAUGAUAAUGACAGUACCGGGAGAAUAAGCACCGGCUAACUCCGUG
rnacentral:rRNA from 1 species